rnacentral:rRNA from 1 species
CGGGGGGAAAAGAAACCAACAGGGAUUGCCUUAGUAACGGCGAGUGAAGCGGCAAAAGCUCAAAUUUGAAAUCUGGCACCUUCGGUGUCCGAGUUGUAAUUUGAAGAAGGUAACUUUGGGAUUGGCUCUUGUCUAAGUUCCUUGGAACAGGACGUCACAGAGGGUGAGAAUCCCGUGCGAUGAGAUGACCAAUCCUAUGUAAAGUGCUUUCGAAGAGUCGAGUUGUUUGGGAAUGCAGCUCUAAGUGGGUGGUAAAUUCCAUCUAAAGCUAAAUAUUGGCGAGAGACCGAUAGCGAACAAGUACAGUGAUGGAAAGAUGAAAAGAACUUUGAAAAGAGAGUGAAAAAGUACGUGAAAUUGUUGAAAGGGAAGGGCUUGAGAUCAGACUUGGUAUUUUGCAUUCCUUACCUUCGUGGUGGGGUUCCUUGCAGUUUACUGGGCCAGCAUCGGUUUGGAUGGUGGGAUAAUGACAUUGGAAUGUGGCUCUGCUUCGGUAGAGUGUUAUAGCCAGUGUUGAUACCGCCUGUCUAGACCGAGGACUGCGUCUUGACUAGGAUGCUGGCAUAAUA